AAUAGACCGAGGUUUCGUGGUUUGAAACCAUUUCACACUCGUCCACUUCGCAAAAGAAUCGGCUGGAGAACAGAAGUUCGCUAAAAGUUUCCUCAAGUGAUUUCAAGUGAUGGUGUUUGAAUUAAAAUAAGUUCAAGAUUUAAAUUUUCGGUGUUACUAAAACACUUCUAAAGUGAAUUCUGUUCUGGUGUUUCGGAAAGAUUUGAGUACAAAGCGCUCGUCCAACGAGCGUUUUGUACGGGCUGGAUUUUGCUGGUGUUUUGUGCUCGUGUGCCGCGCUAAGGCCCGCCGUCCCGGUAGUCAAACGGAGUUGGUGGUUUCCGUUAUCACGUUUGCGAAGUUGUCCGAGAGCCAGCAAUCCGAAGUAGCAGUUCAUUCCAUCGUGGGGGAUCGGUACGGAAUCUUAGUACGUGAGGUCCUUCCAGGGUACGUUGUCUGUUGCGGAGGGUUCUACUCUCGUCGACCAAAUCGGAAGUCUUCCGUCCAGCCGGACCACACUCCGCACCUUUAAUUCGGCCAUACGCACACGAGCCGCCGUAGUCGACCACGUUUCGUCGACUUUG